rnacentral:rRNA from 1 species
UAGGGAAUCUUCGGCAAUGGACGAAAGUCUGACCGAGCAACGCCGCGUGAGUGAAGAAGGUUUUCGGAUCGUAAAACUCUGUUGUUAGAGAAGAACAAGGUCGUUAGUAACUGAACGUCCCCUGACGGUAUCUAACCAGAAAGCCACGGCUAACUACGUGCCAGCAGCCGCGGUAAUACGUUGGUGGCAAGCGUUGUCCGGAUUUAUUGGGCGUAAAGCGAGCGCAGGCGGUUUCUUAAGUCUGAUGUGAAAGCCCCCGGCUCAACCGGCUAGGGUCAUUGGAAUCUGGGAGCCUUGAUUGCAGAAGAGGAGCGUGGAUUUCCGUGUGUAGCGGUGAAAUGCGUAGAUAUAUGGAAGAACUCCAGUGGCGAAGGCCGCUCUCUGGUCUGUAACUGACGCUGAGGCUCGAAAGCGUAGGGAUCAAACAGG